rnacentral:misc_RNA from 1 species
GGAUCAUCAGGAAAAUGGCCGACAAGCGUGCUGCCACCCAUUUUCUUUCUCCUCUUGCUCUCGACAGAAACCCCAUUAAAACCUGCUUUUCUUGGUCAGGAAAGAAACUCUAAGGUGCCAAAAGUUUGUUGGCGUCAGUCCCAUGCUCUCCCGUUGCUGGAGAUGGAGGAAAACGACCUUGGAAGGCACCGCUCCCUUCAUCCGUGUCUCGCUCAUUCAACCCAAACCAAGAGCUGUUGCUUACCGUUGGCAGCUCCAUCAACAUCGCCUAAGGUGGUCCUCGCCGAUUGGUCCCUCUCGCCUGUGAUUUGUGUCACUGGUAACUGGAGAAGAAGUGGGGAGGAAGAGAAACGGAAAAGAAGAAAGAGAAGAGGGGAGGGGGGAAAGAAAAUGGGGCUGUGGUGCUCACAUUGUAAGAAACAAAUUUGUGGUCCCCACAACUCAUUGUCAGAGCUGCCUCGUUCCCCGAGGUAGAUUAUUGAAAACUGGAUUCCAAUUUUGAGUUUUCUAUAGAUGUGAUGGGUGCAGGUUAGCUGCGCUCGCAUCUUCAAGCGUAUGGAGAGUUCCUAGUGAAACUGUGUAAGUAGGUAAAGUUGGUUAAUCUUAGAGUCCAGUUUAUUUGUUGACCUCUAAUGUAAAGUUGCAGAACU